AACGAACGCUGGCGGCAUGCCUAAUACAUGCACGUCGAACGAUCACUUCGGUGGUAGUGGCGCACGGGUGCGUAACGCGUGGGAAUCUGCCCUUGGGUUCGGAAUAACGUCGGGAAACUGACGCUAAUACCGGAUGAUGACGUAAGUCCAAAGAUGUAUCGCCCAGGGAUGAGCCCGCGUAGGAUUAGCUAGUUGGUAGGGUAAAGGCUUACCAAGGCGACGAUCCUUAGCUGGUCUGAGAGGAUGAUCAGCCACACUGGGACUGAGACACGGCCCAGACUCCUACGGGAGGCAGCAGUAGGGAAUAUUGGACAAUGGGGGCAACCCUGAUCCAGCAAUGCCGCGUGAGUGAUGAAGGCCUUAGGGUUGUAAAGCUCUUUUACCCGGGAUGAUAAUGACAGUACCGGGAGAAUAAGCCCCGGCUAACUCCGUGCCAGCAGCCGCCGUAA
rnacentral:rRNA from 1 species